UCUCUUUAAAAUGUUAUCAUAGUUAAUACAGUCUAUAAUAGUAUACGUGAACGUAAUAUCGUAACAGUUUGAAUUCGUGUUGAAAUGUUUAGUUGUGGUGAUUUUCGCUGAUGUGAAUCAUAAUUUUGUUAAAAAUUUUUAUUUGAGUGAAUGGCCCACUUCAAAAUGAAGACGUACCAAAAUCCAGAAACUGUUCGAGGAAGGUAGAUACAACCUGUAAUGGAUGAUAACGCCGAACUAACCCGAUUGAGGAUGGUCAUGGCCAUGACCGUAAGAAGGACAAAGCGUCUGUAAGAAAAAAAUGAGAAAAUAUGUCUACUCGAAACUGCUCAAAUGGUUGAAAAUAAAAGAAUCGUGAACUAGAAGCAAUUCAUGCCUCUAAAAACGAGCGAAUUGAAAAACCAAAAUCAAAAAAUUGAGAAGCUCAAAAAAGAGAAAAACGAAUUUAAAUGAGAAACUCAAGGAGGACCAGAAGGAAUUACGCCUAUAUCAAAUUGGAUGAUUUCAAAAACUCAAAAAUUCGCAAUGCAGAUAAGCUACUGAAUUUAUUCAACGGUCAGAACAAGAUUAAGAAGAUAAGGAAACCUUCUCAUAAAAAGUCCUGAGAAUUCGAGCCGUCUGAAGCAGCUGAUACCAGCAGUGAAGAUGAUUUAUUCAGGUGCAUAUAACCAUCAAUGUGGAAUGUAGAGAAAUUAGUGUUUUUACGUUUCACUCUUUCAUUAAUUGUAGGUACAAUGUUUCAUCUACCUGCCUAUUUUCAUUAUUUAAAAUUGAAGUUCAACUGUUCAAAAAUAAUAAAUUAGAGUACUUCUUGUUCA